UUGGAGGGCAAGUCUGGUGCCAGCAGCCGCGGUAAUUCCAGCUCCAAUAGCGUAUAUUAAAGUUGUUGCAGUUAAAAAGCUCGUAGUUGAAUUUCGGGAUCAAUACGUCGGUCGUGCCUCUGGUAUGUACUGGUGUUAUCGAUUUCUCCUUUCUGAUGAGCCAUGAUGUCAUUAAUUUGGUGUUGUGGGGAGUCAGGACUGUUACUUUGAAAAAAUUAGAGUGUUUAAAGCAGGCUUACGCUUGAAUACAUUAGCAUGGAAUAAUGAAAUAGGACGUUCGAUCCUAUUUUGUUGGCUUCUAGGAUCAACGUAAUGAUUAAUAGGGAUAGUUGGGGGCAUUAGUAUUCAAUUGUCAGAGGUGAAAUUCUUGGAUUUAUUGAAGACUAACUACUGCGAAAGCAUUUGCCAAGGAUGUUUUCAUUAAUCAAGAACGAAAGUUAGGGGAUCGAAGACGAUCAGAUACCGUCGUAGUCUUAACCAUAAACUAUGCCGACUAGGGAUCGGAUGAUGUUAAUUUUUUAAUGACUCAUUCGGCGCCUUACGGGAAAC
rnacentral:rRNA from 1 species